UACGUAGGGGGCAAGCGUUGUCCGGAAUUAUUGGGCGUAAAGCGCGCGCAGGCGGCCUUGUAAGUCUGUUGUUUAAACUUGGGGCUCAACCCCAAGUCGCAAUGGAAACUGCAAAGCUUGAGUGCAGAAGAGGAAAGUGGAAUUCCACGUGUAGCGGUGAAAUGCGUAGAGAUGCGGAGGAACACCGAUGGCGAAGGCAGCCCCCUGGGCUGACACUGACGCUCAGGCACGAAAGCGUGGGGAGCAAACAGG
rnacentral:rRNA from 1 species